ANUGGANUCCUUNCGGCAUGCCUUNACAUGCUAGUCGAACGGCAGCACGGGUGCUUGCACCUGGUGGCGAGUGGCGAACGGGUGAGUAAUACAUCGGAACAUGUCCUGUAGUGGGGGAUAGCCCGGCGAAAGCCGGAUUAAUACCGCAUACGAUCUACGGAUGAAAGCGGGGGACCUUCGGGCCUCGCGCUAUAGGGUUGGCCGAUGGCUGAUUAGCUAGUUGGUGGGGUAAAGGCCCACCAAGGCGACGAUCAGUAGCUGGUCUGAGAGGACGACCAGCCACACUGGGACUGAGACACGGCCCAGACUCCUACGGGAGGCAGCAGUGGGGAAUUUUGGACAAUGGGCGAAAGCCUGAUCCAGCAAUGCCGCGUGUGUGAAGAAGGCCUUCGGGUUGUAAAGCACUUUUGUCCGGAAAGAAAUCCUGAGGGCUAAUAUCCUUCGGGGAUGACGGUACCGGAAGAAUAAGCACCGGCUAACUACGUGCCAGCAGCCGCGGUAAUACGUAGGGUGCGAGCGUUAAUCGGAAUUACUGGGCGUAAAGCGUGCGCAGGCGGUUUGUUAAGACCGAUGUGAAAUCCCCGGGCUCAACCUGGGAACUGCAUUGGUGACUGGCAAGCUAGAGUAUGGCAGAAGGGGGUAGAAUUCCACGUGUAGCAGUGAAAUGCGUANAGAUGUGGAGGAAUACCGAUGGCGAAGGCAGCCCCCUGGGCCAAUACUGACGCUCAUGCACGAAGCGUGGGGAGCAACAGGAUANAUACCUGGUAGUCAC
rnacentral:rRNA from 1 species